rnacentral:rRNA from 1 species
UAGAGUUUGAUCAUGGCUCAGAUUGAACGCUGGCGGCAGGCUUCAGACAUGCAAGUCGAGCGGAAACAGGCCGCUGUGAUCCCUUCGGGGUGAACUUGGUGCUGUCGAGCGGCGGACGGGUGAGUAACGCGUAGGAAUCUGCCCAGUAGAGGGGGAUAGCCCGAGGAAACUCGGAUUAAUACCGCAUACGCCCUAAGGGGGAAAGCAGGGGAUCUUCGGACCUUGCGCUAUUGGAUGAGCCUGCGUUGGAUUAGCUUGUUGGUGGGGUAAAGGCCUACCAAGGCGACGAUCCAUAGCUGGUUUGGGAGGAUGAUCAGCCACACUGGAACUGAGACACGGUCCAGACUCCUACGGGAGGCAGCAGUCGGGAAUAUUGGACAAUGGGCGCAAGCCUGAUCCAGCCAUGCCGCGUGUGUGAAGAAGGCCUUCGGGUUGUAAAGCACUUUCAGUAGGGAGGAAGGCUGACCGUUUAAUAGACGGUUGGAUUGACGUUACCUACAGAAGCAGCACCGGCUAACUCCGUGCCAGCAGCCGCGGUAAUACGGAGGGUGCAAGCGUUAAUCGGAAUUACUGGGCGUAAAGCGCGCGUAGGCGAUUUGUUAAGUCGGAUGUGAAAGCCCUGGGCUCAACCUAGGAACUGCAUCCGAUACUGACAGGCUAGAGUACUGUAGAGGGGGGUAGAAUUUCA